GACGUAGGGCGCGAGCGUUGUCCGGAUUUAUUGGGCGUAAAGAGCUCGUAGGCGGCUUGUCGCGUCGACUGUGAAAUCCCGCGGCUCAACUGCGGGUCUGCAGUCGAUACGGGCAGGCUAGAGUUCGGUAGGGGAGACUGGAAUUCCUGGUGUAGCGGUGAAAUGCGCAGAUAUCAGGAGGAACACCGAUGGCGAAGGCAGAUCUCUGGGCCGUAACUGACGCUGGGGAGCGAAAGCGUGGGGAGCGAACAGG
rnacentral:rRNA from 1 species